AUUGAACGCUGGCGGCAGGCCUAACACAUGCAAGUCGAACGGUAACAGGAAACAGCUUGCUGUUUCGCUGACGAGUGGCGGACGGGUGAGUAAUGUCUGGGAAACUGCCUGAUGGAGGGGGAUAACUACUGGAAACGGUAGCUAAUACCGCAUAACGUCGCAAGACCAAAGAGGGGGACCCUCGGGCCUCUUGCCUCCGAUUUUGCCCAGAUGGGAUUAGCUUGUUGUUGGGGUAACGGCUCACCAAGGCGACGAUCCCUAGCUGGUCUGAGAGGAUGACCAGCCACACUGGAACUGAGACACGGUCCAGACUCCUACGGGAGGCAGCAGUGGGGAAUAUUGCACAAUGGGCGCAAGCCUGAUGCAGCCAUGCCGCGUGUAUGAAGAAGGCCUUCGGGUUGUAAAGUACUUUCAGCGGGGAGGAAGGGAGUAAAGUUAAUACCUUUGCUCAUUGACGUUACCCGCAGAAGAAGCACCGGCUAACUCCGUG
rnacentral:rRNA from 1 species